UACGUAGGGUGCGAGCGUUGUCCGGAAUUAUUGGGCGUAAAGAGCUCGUAGGCGGUGUGUCGCGUCGAUCGUGAAAACCUGCGGCUUAACCGUGGGCGUGCGGUCGAUACGGGCAUCACUGGAGUUCGGCAGGGGAGACUGGAAUUCCUGGUGUAGCGGUGAAAUGCGCAGAUAUCAGGAGGAACACCGGUGGCGAAGGCGGGUCUCUGGGCCGAUACUGACGCUGAGGAGCGAAAGCGUGGGGAGCGAACAGGAUUAGAUACCCUAGUAGU
rnacentral:rRNA from 1 species